GAGCCUAUUUAAGCGCCCCAUUCUCUCCCCUAGGGUUCCUUUACUGCCUCUCUAACCCAGAACACCAAACCCUAGCCGCCAUAUCCAUUGUUUGAGCCAAUUGUUGCCUUGAAGAGUGCAUUAAAGCUUGGAGAAGGAAGAAGGAUCUUGGAGGUGCAAGAAGGGGCUAUAGAUAUGGGAUUGUGAGGAUAUUUCUCAGCAUUUGGAGGUAAUAAACCAGUUCUUGGACUAUUUUGCACCUAGAUCUAUGUGUGGAUGUUGGGGCUUUUUAGCCAUAAUGGUAUCCAUUUGAGUUAGAAGCCAGAUCUGAAGUUGCUACUUCGGAUCUAAGCAUAUUAUGGUCUUGAGAAGCAUAAAGUAUCUGCCCUUGAGUUGAUUAUGGAGCCUCUUUGCCUUAAACCCUAGUUUAUGGUGUAUUUUGCCUAGAUAUCCUUCUCUACACGUAAAGUUUGCAACUUUACGUGAGGAAUAGGCUUAGGAAGGGUAGAUCUACAGUUUGGAGUCCAUGCAUGACUCAAAAGUCCUCUGCAUGUAACGAGAUCUGAAUAGACUCGACGAGUCCUUUGAGUGGACUCGGCGAGUAGCAUGAAGAUUAAGAGCAACUCGACGAGUGGGAUGAACAGCUCAUCGAGUCAGAUGAAGAUUGCCUUGUACUCAACGAGUCUGCUCUUGGACUCGGCAAGUCAGGUCGCGAAACCCGAAACCCUUCGAGUUGAGACUCAAAUCAGUGAGACGAAUGGAGACUCGGUGAGUUGGACAGGUCCGGACUCGGAAAUCGGUAGACUCGGCGAGUCAUUGACUGACUUGGCGAGUUGAGACGCGAAAGGAAGGACUCUGAACAUAUGAACUCGGCUAGUUAGUAGGGUGACUCGGCAAGUAGGGUUGACCUGGAAAGUUGACUUUGACCAGAGUUGACUUGGUUGUCUCUCGGGGGUCAGUUAGACUCAGUGUUGCAUUGAUAUUGGUAGUGCGGGGAGCAAGGGGAGCAGGAGUUCAGAGAGUUGCUGGGAAGCAGCUAGUGAGAUCAUCAACAAGUUCAGCCAGUGCAGGUGAGUUUCCCUUUGUGUGAAUGGGUCUAAGGCCACAAUGCCGGCCCAUGUAGUUAUGAGUAGAAGGCCCGGGGGUUAGCCCUAGACAUAGUAUGCUAGUAUGAUAUUUAGGACGAGGUCCAUUAAUAGCGGGCGGGUGCCCAAGGAUUUGUUUAUAUGAUAGUUUAUACUUGUUGUCUGUGUGAUACAUGUAUGUGCCUGGUAGGGAGGUGAGUGUGGGCGAGGUCCCGUAUCUCACCAAUAGCAGAGUGUGGAUGGGGUUCCACAUCUCAUUAGUAGCAGAACAGGGGUGAGGCCCAAGUUAGGGAAGGAGUGAGAGUGGGCUAGGCCCGUAUCUCACUACCAGUAGGAGCGUGGACGGGGUUCCAUGACUCAUCAGUAGCAGGACAAGAGUGAGGCCUAGGAUAGGCGAGGCCUUAGGACAGGAUCAGUCGUAUGAGUUUAGCUUAUGUGUUAUGAUAUGUUUAUGUGUUAUUAUUUGUUGGCGGGCGAGGCCCUGUGACAUGCGAGGCCUAAGUGAAACAGAUCUGUAUCCGAGCGGGGCUCGAAGCCAGGCAGGGCCUGGAGCGGUGGGGCCGUUAUAGCGGGCGAGGCCCAAGGCAGGGGGCGAGGCCCAAGAUAGCAGGCGUGGCCCAGUAUGUGCAGUAUGUGGUAGGGUGGUGAACUCACUAAGCUUCGUGCUUACGGUUUUCAGUUUUGGUUUCAGGUACUUCCGGUAGCGGAAGGAAGAGCUCGGGGUGAUCGCAUGGCACACACCAUAGAUUAGACAGCCUGGGAAUGUUUACUCUGAUAACGAACAUGUGUUUUGAAAAUUAAUACCCUGAUUAUGUUUUGGAAUGAUGACUUUACUUUAAGUAAUGUUUUAUUAAAAGAAAUUUUUAGUCUUAAAUUUUGGGACGUUACAAGUUGGUAUCAGAGCCUUGGUUUGAGGGAUUCAGACAUGCUCUCGGGUGUGUCUGAACUCAAACUGAGGAAUUGGUAUAAAGGUUUUCAAAAUGAAGAGACAGAUUGUAAAAAUAAAGUUUUGAGAAAGAAAACAGUUUUAGAAAAGCAAAAAGAAUUCAGAAAGAAAAGAACUUUGAAAAGAGAAAAAGGGGUGUGGUGCAUGCAAUCAACCGAGCUCAAGUAAGUACCCCAAAAUACCCAUACAAGUUUUGUUAUGAUUAUCAGUUAGUAGAACAACAUGCUAGAUUAGGACUAAGAAUCUAGGGAGGAUGUCUUAUGUGCCUGUUAUAUGUGCUUUUGAGAUGCAUGAUAGUACUGGUUAGACAGUAGUAGGAUAACCUGUUUAGGUUAUGCCUAAGAUUAUGAGUUUGUAUUGCAUGCUAGUCCAGAUUCUUGCUAUGUGGGUAUGAUUGCUUGAGUAUGUUGUGGUUAGAUUUUCCUUUUGUCUAAAUGCUGCUUGCUUUGUGCAUUGUGGGAUUCUGAGUGAUGGGAGUUAGCCAUUAGGUGAAUACGUCACGUCACAUGUGACCAGGGUUGAGUAAUCUCAGAGUGUUGGAUUUGGCCCUAUUGCGCAGCUCUUGUUUGAGUCUAAUAGUUGUAGGGACGAGUCUUUUACUAGAAGGAUUAUCUGAGACUCGUCACAUGUGAUGGUAUUCAGGUGAUGGCUAAUUGGCAUCACGAGGAGACACUCAGUAGCUGAGGAUUGGUUUUGGUUUGAGUCAGAGGUUUCCUUAGGGUAAGCCUACGAUGAGGUAGUGCUGGGAGCAGUAGUAGUAGAACAGGGACCUGGUGGAGUCAAAACAGUUCUUGAGGAAAGUACGGAUAGAUGUGGAAGGUAGUAUGGGCCCAUACUAUUGAAAGCAGAGGAUCCGUACUCGAUUCGGGAAAGACCAAGACAAGACCGGGAAUCUGGUAGUGCGUGUGUUUGGUCUCACAAUAGUGAUGAGUAUUAUGAUAGUGGUUGUGUCAUAUGUUUCAGCAUGGUGAUGUUGCGAGAGAGACCAGUGGGCGGAUCAGGUGACGGAGAGGGAUCAGGAUCGGGUUCAGGGGCCGAGUAGCUCGAGGAGCGGAUGAGGGAGUUGAUAUAAGCUGAGGUUACGUGCAGUAUUCUAGACCAGACUCCUGUGAUAUUUGGCACGGUCAAGGAGGGUAUAUUGGAGAUUUUGGAUGAGAGGCUGGGAGCCUUCCGUACUAAGAUGAUGGCAUUGAUGGGAGCGCGUACCUUGACAUUUCGGGAGUUCAGGGCUUGCGGGGCACCAGAUUAUCAUGGGGCUAGGGACCCCAUCGCUAGCAGCAGAUGGUUGGCUGAUGUUGCCAACGCGUUCCGUACGAGCCGAUGUCCUGAGGAGGACAAGGUCAGACUCGCUUCUUGUCUUCUGAAGGACAGAGCGAGGGAUUGGUGGGAAGAGAUUGGUCAUGCUUUGGGUGAUGAUACCGCGUUGAACGCGAUGACUUGGAGCGAUUUCUCAUCCAGUUCAGGGCGGAGUUUUCGCCAAUUAUUGAGGUGCAACAGUUGGCACGGGAGUUUCAGGAUUUGAUGCAGACCACUGAGACUGUGGCGGAGAUCACCGCCAAGUUCAGGGAGAGGGCUCUUCUCGUACCGUAGUAUGUCACAGAUGAGGAGAUGAAGAAGGCCCGAUAUCACGAGAUAUUGAGGGAUGACAUCUGGGAGUUCGUGAGCAGGUCCGGCUGUAAGACCCCGGAAGAUAUCAUUUCUCGGGCCAGGGAGAGGGAAAUUGAUUUGGAGCAGAUCCGGAAGAGGAAUCCGGAUGAGGUUCAGGUAGCCGCGAGUUCGGGCAAAAGGCCGAAGGGAUCGGAUUCGAGAUCGAGGGAUUAUUAGGACUGCAGCCGAUAUGGGAAGUGUAGCAGGAUGCACGGGGGCGCGUGUAGGAGUGGUAGUGGUGGUGAGUCUGGCUGCUUCAAGUGCGGUCGGACUGGUCAUUUUAGUAGGGAUUGCACUGUUACCACCAUUCAUGGAUCAGACUUGAUAUGUUUUCACUGCAAUCAGCAGGGCCACAAGAAGGCCCAGUGCCCCAGUUUGUUUUCAGCAGGACGGGUGAUGGCACCUGCCCCUGCAACUUUGAGGAUCACAGACGGCCGUCAGGGCCGUGCAGAGGCGCCUGCGGUAGGAGGCAGGGCUUUUCAGACGGCUAUCUUGAAGACGUGAGUAGCACCGUACGUUGCAGGCAUGCGACUUCCAUUUUCAGUUCUUUUAUUUGUGCAUGAUUAUAUUGUUAUGGUUCUGCGUCGUUAUCGGUAUGAGAAUUUUAUUUUUUCUUGUGCGGCUUGAUUGUGAUCGAGUUAUAUGCCAUCUACAUACCUUGGAUAUUUGGAUAGUAGUUAAGGGAUGGGUUCUAUUGGAGAAGGUUACUUAGGGUGCAGUAACUGUAGCAUGCCUUGGAGGGACUUGGUAUGUCUCGCUAGUUCGAAGCCGUAUAAGUUUUAGAAAUGGACUGGUUAGAUCCCUAGCUAUGGUAAGCUUGGGAUUCCUCAGCAGAUUGAUUAUGGAAUGGUAGCAAGGAUAUAUUGGGAUUUCUAUUCAUUGAGUGGCGAGGUGUAAGCAGGAUCGAAGUGGGGGAGAAUCCUUAGAGCGUGCAAAGGUAAGAGCACGCAGAUCUAGAAUGAGUGCGCAACCUCCGAGAAGGAAAAGAAGUGGUACAACGUUUGAUGAUUGAGGAGUUCAGGGUUAGGAGUUUGAGAAACUCCCCCUUAGCCAGUGCGUGUAUUGGUGAUGGUUAGUAUGUGGUUGGGAAUUCAGGUUGAAUGAUCACCUGUAGGAAUCGAGUGAGUCAGAAGGAGGAUCUUGAGAACUAAAAGCAUGGGGUGCUUUCAUAUUAGCAGUCAGCGGUGGAAAGUGUUGUAAGACUACAGGGCAGCCAUAGCAUUCACUAGAAGUCAGUGGUGGGAAGUGUUGUAAGACUACGGGGCAGCCGUAGCAUUCACUAGCAGUCAGUGGUGGGAAGUGUUGUAAGACUACGGGGCAGCCGUAGCAUUCACUAGCAGUCAGUGGUGGGAAGUGUUGUAAGACUACGGGGCAGCCGUAGCAUUCACUAGCAGUCAGUGGUGGGAAGUGUUGUAAGACUACGGGGCAGCCGUAGCAUUCACUAGCAGUCAGUGGUGGGAAGUGUUGUAAGACUACGGGGCAGCCAUAGCAUUCACUAGCAGUCAGUGAUGUAAAGUGUUGUCAGACUACGGGGCAUCCAUAACAUUCACUAGCAGACGGCGAUAGAAGGUGAUGUAAGACUGCGGGUAAGCCGUAGCAUUCCAUAGUAGCUUUGUUGGCGGAGUUGGGGCGAGGCCCUUAUCUCCUAGCAUUCAGAUAGGGAUCAGGAAUGGGUAAUGGAUGAGAAUGGUAAGGAGUUUUCCUGUAUAUCCCUUGAGAGAUGAGACCUUGGGAGAGGCCGCUCCAGGAUAUAGAUGGGUGAGACCCAGGGGAGAGGCCCGUAUGAGAGUAGCAGUAUAGGUGAGACCUUAGAGCAAUGUUGCUCAAUAGUAUGGUUGGGUGAGACCCGUGGGCGAGGCCCAAGUGAGAGUGGUUAGACAAGUGGGAUUAGAAGGUUAGAGGCGGUUGAGACCCGUGGGCGAGGCCCGUGAGUUUUAGCAGCACAGGUGGGACCUGGUAGGGAUCUUAGUGUCUGGAUAGGGGAUCGGGGAUCCCAGGAAAUUGUAGUGCUUGCAUGGCAGGAUAAAUUGAGCAAUUUUAGGUGGUCAAAGUUUCUUCGAAAGUCGCUGGGAGCGACUAGUAGUUUUGUUGGGUUAGCGAUCGGUGGGAGCCGGUAAUCCAGAUAUUGAUAGGUUGGUAGGGACCAGGGUGGUCUGAGUUCAUCCGGAAGUCAGAUGAAGAAUAGCAGAAUUUCCAGUCAGUAGCAGUGCGAGUGUGCAGCGUAUGGUGGAAUUCACUUAGUUGAUCGUGGGGUGCUCGACACCAAAUUAUAGUAAAAAGAAAUGCCCAGUAGAGACUGGCGAUAAUGACCCAUACUGGAAGUAACAGGAGUAACGGAUUUGGUGAAGAUAGGAUCUUCACAGUAACAGAGGAAAUAGUUGGUUAUGGAGCAUUGCCUUGGGAAGGCAAGGAAAUCGCGCAAGGAAAGAAGGGGUAAACCCCUAUGGGUUCAGUUGCAGUACUCGGAGAGGACCAGAAGGAUUACCGGUUGAGUAAUUUGGGUUUCCAGGAUGUUUAGGGUCAGGGUUGAUCGGAAUGACCGGGCGAAAGACCAACGAUGGUAUGCAGCCGGGGUUGGAAUAUUUAGUAGGGUAUUGGAGGCAGAUCGCAGGCGGUGGGCCAUAGUAAAAUUCGAGGACGAAGUUUAGUUUAAGUGGGGGAGAGUUGUAAAGGAGGAACUCGGCGAGUCCGAGCGGGAUCCGGGUCGAGGAGUAAGUGACCGACUCGGCAAGUCGGCCAAGGGGACUCGGCGAGUCUGGUCUAUGCGAGGAAAACCCUAAAUUCGGGACUUAGAGCCUAUUUAAGCGCCUCAUUCUCUUCCCUAGGGUUCCUUUACUGCCUCUCUAACCCAGAACACCNCGCCCCCCCCCGCCAUAUCCAUUGUUUGAGCCAAUUGUUGCCUUGAAGAGUGCAUUAAAGCUUGGAGAAGGAAGAAGGAUCUUCAAGGUGCAAGAAGGGGCUAUAGAUAUGGGAUUGUGAGGAUAUUUCUGAGCAUUUGGAGGUAAUAAACUAGUUCUUAGAGUCUUUUGCACCUAGAUCUAUGUGUG
rnacentral:lncRNA from 1 species